rnacentral:rRNA from 1 species
UACGAAGGGAGCUAGCGUUGUUCGGAAUCACUGGGCGUAAAGCGCACGUAGGCGGCUUACUAAGUCAGGGGUGAAAUCCUGGAGCUCAACUCCAGAACUGCCUUUGAUACUGGUGAGCUUGAGUCCGGAAGAGGUGAGUGGAACUGCGAGUGUAGAGGUGAAAUUCGUAGAUAUCGCAAGAACACCAGUGGCGAAGGCGGACUCACUGGUCCGGUACUGACGCUGAGGUGCGAAAGCGUGG